ensembl:processed_transcript Gm14204 predicted gene 14204
GUGCUGCAUUUCUGGAGGAGGUGCUAAGCAGACGUCCUGGCCCGUCCCACCUUGCUGCUGCCACAAGGAGGGAGGAGUUCAGUGUGGGCUGGUUCUCGAAGGUCCCCACCCUCGGAACUAUCUUCCAGAGUCCCGGAGCUGUGCGGGGGCCCCGGAUCCUCUGGCUAACCGUCCGGAUAACCAACAGGACAGACAGAUGGUGCUUUGCCUGGAUGUAUCUGUGCACCACAUACAUGCCUACUGCCCACAAAAGUCAGAAGAGGCAUCCUAUAGACUGGAACUGGAGUUACAGAUGGCUGUGAACCACCAUGUAGGUGCUGGGAACUGAACCCACAUCCUCUGAAAGAACAUAAAUUGCCCUCGACCAUUGUAAGUUGCUAGAAGGAUAAGCCGUCUGUCUGUACCCAGUUGUGCCUAUUCCAGUAACAUUAUAACAAAGAUAAACAUGUCAACUGUUGGGAAGAGAUCGUGGAUUCUGCCCCCCUUAAGACUGGCUUGUGUGUUACUCCAGUGUGAAGACCAUGCAUUUAAUUCAGUCUGACCAAGUAGAAAAUAAGCUCCGAACACUGGUGCUCCCCACUGCCCGCGCCACCUGGACCGGCCUCCAUCCAUUCGUCUCCCCCACCGCUGCCUUCGAGGGGAAAUAUGACAGCGUAAUGAACAGUUGUACGACGUGCUAUAAAAAGGCAAUUAAGGGAACUAUCAGACUGGGACAAGCCAGCGUGACCCGGUUAAUAGCUCUGAGCUCUGAGUGGGGCCGUGGGGAGGACGGGCUGAAGGAGGGGGAGGGGGCUUGCUGUUUACAGUGAGGGGCUGAAGUUAGUCUAGCAACUAUCAGCUAACAAAGGGCCCUUGGCUGCCCUCAUGGCCGCUGGGUCCAGGGACAACUCUAGGGUCAUGUUAGUUGAGAGUAAAGCUCUGCUCACAACCCUGCGCUGGUGGCCUUGACCUGGGCAAAUGACCCCUAGUCUCUUGGCUACAGUUUCCUGUUUUGUUAAAAGGGAUGAUGCCGGGAACUGUGUUCCAGAAGUGGGGGAAAGGAUACAUUUUUAUUUGCGUUCCUCUGUGUGUGUGUGUGUGUGUGUGUGUGUGUGUGUGUGUGUGUGUGUUUGUGUAUGUGUAUGCAUACAUCAUAUACAGCAUAAACAGCAUACAUCAUAUGUCAUAUACAUAUAUAUCAUAUAUACCAUGUACACAUGCAAUACACAUACACGCACAUAUAUAUGUGUAUAUAUGGGGAUUUCUUAGAAUCACUUGCAGGCUAUGGUUCAAUUAAUCCAACAAUGGCAAGUUACAAACAGAAGGUUCAAGAAUCCAGAAGUUUCUCAGUCUGUGGGGCUGAUGUCUCAGCUGGUCUUCAGCAGAUGCUGGGAUUCUGAAGAAGUAGGCUCUAAUGCAGUGGUUCUCAACCUUCUUGAUGCUGCAACCUUUAAUAUAUUUCUUCAUGUUAUGGUGACCCUCCACCAUAAAUUACUUCACUGCUACUUCAUAACUUAUUUUGCUACUGCUAUAAAUUGUAAUGUAAAUAUCUGAUAUGCAGGAUAUCUAAUAUGUUACCCCCAGAAGGGUCACUACCCACAGGUUGAGAAUGGCUCUAAUGUCAGUGAGGGAAGGAAUGGACUUGCUAGCAAGGCAGAGCAAACAAAGAGCAAAAGCUGCCUUCUUCCAUGUACCUUCCAUGUAGGUUUCCAGCAGAAGGUGUGGCCCAGGAUAAAGGUGUGUCUUCCUGCCUCAAGGUCAAAGGUGUGCACCUUCUUGCCUCAAAGGUCUGAACUAGAAGUGGAUUUACCUGCUUCACACAAAGCAAAAGUAAUUUCUCACAGGCGUGCCCUCCAUUUCUGGAUCAUAUUUUAUUCCAGAUGUAGUCAAGUUGACAACCAAGAAGAACCAUCACAAGGUCUGCCCAGGAAGCCAUCUCCCAGCCAGGAUGGGAAGGUUUUCAUUGUGGAAUGUCAGUGCAGGAAUUGGCCCUUAGCAUCCAAAGGAACUUAGGUGGAGGCUCUAUGUGAUGUCCCAGCAGGGAGCUCCAGUUGAAUACAAUCUUGGGUUGUGGUGAGUGCUAGAGGGUAGUCUGGCCCUUCACCCUUCAUGCAAUGCAAACUCUCUGGGCAGAUCUAUAGUCAGCCUUGGGCCAUUUGUUUCCCUUUUAGGAUCCCUUGAGUCACCUCCUCCAUUCCCCAGGCUCUGCUGCCUUCCUAUUUUUUGUUUGUCAUCCACAUGACCUGCAGGACGGGAUCAGAGACACUCAUGCUCGCCCUAGUGCUUGCUUCUCUUGGCUUCACAGUGCGGGUGGGAGGAGUGAUGGGUUUUCAUACUACACAGGGUAGGAAGUCACCACUUGGCACAUGGUAAAGGCCCAAUGGGUACCAGUUAUUGUUUAGAUCACAACAUGGCUCUGGGUUUGUAUUUAGUACGCAACUCAUGCUGACCAUAGAGUGAGUGAAUAUUUGGUAACUGUUGUCUGAAGUGUUGGAGGAAAUCUCACCUGGGUCUUGUUGUCUAUCAGACCUCUGAGCCCAUUAUCCAUCAGUCCCAUAGGGAGAUGAUCCUGUCUAGCGGUUAGAGAAGUGUGCCAUCCAUAGAGUGGUCCCUAUACAUCCCCACCUGCAUCCGCAUCCUGUGCCUGAAUUUCUCAGAGCUCAGGGAGCAUUCAGCUCUCCCACCACGGGUGUUUAUCUUAAAAUAGGAAACCAGUAUGCUCAGGGUCUGCAGAGACCCCAUUCCCCCGCCCCUGCCCCCGCCCCCAUCCCCCACUCCUGCCCCCUCCAGUGCUGCUGCAGAUGGAAGCAACUGACAGCCAGCCCAGUGACAAAGGAGCAAUCAACAGUCAUUAGGGCUCAUUUAAGGACAGCUCAAGGAUGUCUUGAAAAUCCCAGCAUGCUCCUCACUCCAGAUGAAGAGGGUCUGAGUCCCUGGGCUCUUUCUCUUCAGCACCUACCACAGAGGAGGGCUGUGCCAGGCAAGUGGCCCAGGACUUUAUUCCUCAGGCCUGUGUGCUGGCAUCCCUUACCUCUGAAGGUACAAUGGCACUGAGAGCCAAGUGUGGGUCUCACCACUGAGCCACCCUCACAUCAGAAGCAAAAUUGAUCCGAGUCACCAGAGCAGAGCAGAGGCCAAAUGUAAUCUCCUAUGUGGCCAGGAGACUCAUCUGACACACACAGAACCUCGGUUUCUGCUCCUGUUCACUGGGCAUAACUAGACCUUCCCCUCAUAGUGGCCAAGAGGAUUGAAGGAAGGAAAUACAGUGCUUACAUGCAAUAUGAACAUGCAUACCUAUUCCAUGGGAUCACUGCUCAUCCUCAGGUCUCUACUUAAGAGGCCACCUCCAGCUUGCAUGUAGGUUCUUUUCAAGUCUCAAGUUUCAAGCAUGUAUUCUACUCCUAAGUACUUUGACACCCUCUGUGUUUCCCUGGAAUGUUGCACACAUAUAUGAUUCUGGGCCCGAAUCCAGGUGCUUAGUAUGAAUUGUGUCAAAGAGGAGGCUCUUCACAGACCUGUGGGGAAACCACUGUGCUGACAGCCCAGCAAGGGCUAAAUGGGAUGAUGAUGUCACUGGAAGCAGAGUUCCCAUUACCCUGGACUUGGGGAGGUGGGAAUGAGUCCUUAAGUCACCCAGCUUUGUAUAUUAGCAAGACUGGCCUUCUUCUUCUCACCCUUGCUCAGAUGUUUUCCUCUUUGGACAUUCUAUGCUUGUCCAGGGAGUCCUGCUGGACCAUCCAGCUCACAGUGGUCUGUAGAAAUGGAACCUGCCUUUCUCCAGCCAUAGACUGGCUCUCAGGGGAUGCAUAUGGGCAUAGUCUGUGUUCUUGUCCCAGCAUUUAUCAUAGAUAGUUCUCAUUUUUCCCAUCUGGUGUGUUGAGUGUCUCUUGUGUAUCACCUGGUUAUAACCUCAGCUCCAGUCACUAACUCCAGUCCAAAGGACCAUUCUUGGAAGCAGCAAGGUUCCAGGGCACUGCAGGGAAGGCAGAGGCUUCAGGAGAGCUGGGACCAGGGCCCUUCUCUGCUUUUUCUCAGACUGCAAGGCUCUCAGACCAGAGUUAGAUGCUUGGCUCCAGCUGGCCAAACUCCUUAAAACAAAGAGACAGUCCUACCCCAGGGGAGUCACCUUUGAGAGGAGAGGUUCAGGAGCAGCUAGCAUUGAGUUUAAAGAUGCCUUUUGAAGACAACCAGUAAGAACUCACCCCAGCACUGCACACCAGUGUUCACAGUGUUACAGUGUCCAGGCAUGACCCUGGCAGGACUUCUGGGAGUCUCUUGACAAGAUAUCAGGUCUGCCAUUGCUUCCCCAGGUGGGUACGGGUAGAGUGCAGCAAAGCAGGAGCAGGGAUUUCACUUUUGCCACCCAGCCUUCGGCGUGUUUACCCCUUUUCUCUUCUUUUCACUCUCCUUCUCAGGAUGGCCUCUGACCUCCCCAUGGAGGCUUUUCUUGAUGUCUUUAUCUCUAUCAGCCACCACCAGCUCUGCCCCUCGGCCACCAUGGGAGCACAUGCAGGGACCACAGGCAACACACAACAGAGAUGUGUAGGAUAGGAAAAUGACUUUGAAAAUCCCCGAGGCUCCUCGGGAUCCAUCUUAAUGUUUCUGGUCUAAGAUCAAUAGGUGAGGAGACCUCCACGCCUAUAAUUAGCUCGAAUCCUCGAGGAGAGGGACCGGAAGGAGAUAUUCACUCAGCAUCCCCAGUCAGCAGGCAAGGGACAUAAGCUCUUAUUAUGGCUUUUCCCAGAACAGAAGUUCCUAUGUUUCCUCUUUUCCUAAAUCCCCUUUUAUCUCAUAUGACUCAGAAAUGCAUGUGCCUACCUGUUCACGGUAUGAAAUGCAUGUGAUGAACUCUAACUCCUGUUUCCUCCACGGCAGACUUGAACUGCAUGUGGCUAUUCCUGGGGAGGUGAUCUUAGCCUGUGAACACAGUGUGAGCCACACAGGCAGAUGUGUCAUUGACCCCUCCAUCUGCUUAUUUAUUUGCUUGUUUGCUUAUAUUUGUUUUGGGUUUUUUUUUGCUUUUUUCUAGAUUAAAACAAUUUUCUAAUAUUUUGUUUUAUGUGCAUACAUGUGUGUGCAUGGGUGCACACAUGCCAUGGCACAGGUGCAGAGGUCAGAGGACAAACUUGUGGGGAUCACUUCCAUCUCUUCACCAAAGAUCAAACUCAAGUGGUGUCAGGUUUGGUAGCAAAUGCUUUUAUCUGUUGAGCUAUCUUUGCAGACUCUUAAUGACUUUAUUGGCAUAUAUUGAUUAUACAUAAUGAUGCGAUUCAUAUAAUGUACUUGAUCUGCUUGCUCUCUACUGUUACUCUCUCUUGUCCUCUUCCCACUGAUACUGGCCCCCUUUGACACUGAUACAUUAUUAAAUUUUGGUUUUGUAACCUGAA